rnacentral:lncRNA from 1 species
GAGAAACUUUCUCAAACAAGGAUAUAUAAACAACAACGUUGAUUGCAGUAUUAAUCCGAAAGAAGGUAUAUAAGCAUUCAGCGUAUUCUUUUUUGCACCUUUUUGUACAUCUGAAAUAUUUCAUUAGGAAACCACCAGAUUUUAAGUCUUGCUUGAUUCUUGAUCAUUGAUAGGGAUGGGAUAAUGUCCAGACCUUUUUGCAUGACAUUUGAUCCCAACCUACCUUUCUAGCCUUAUUUGUUGUCACUCUCCCAUCUAUCCUAAGAUCUGUCCCAGUUAGACUUGGCCAUAGAGUCUCAAAUUUCAUACCUUUGCACAUGCUUUUACCUAGAAUGUCUUCCCUCUUCACUUUUCACCUACCAAAAUUCUGUUUAUGCUUCAAAAUCUAGCCCAGAUGUAACCUUCCUUGAAAGCUUCCUGGAUUCUUUGAGAGAGAAUGAUUCACACCUGCAUUGCCAAAGGGUUUUGUACAUUUCUCUCUUGUAGCAUUUAUCACAUUGUGGUACAGUUGUUUACAUGUCUGUCCAUCACUAAAUGGACAGAGACCAUGACUUUUUUACUUCCGUAAUUCCUGCCCCAGCACAAUCCAAUAUGUUACGAUAAGUGUUGAGUGAAUGGGUGGAUAGCAGAAUGAAUGAUUUAAUCUUCCAAGGCCUUUACAUUGCCAUCAUUGUCUUCCAGAAUCAUCACCUGACCUGAGGCCUUAAGCUACAGAAAUGGAUAUUGAGAUGCCUAAGAAGUCUUAUAGGACUUUGCUUCUGAUUGUGUUUCCCAAAUGUGUCUGUGGAGCCCCAUUAUAAAAGUCUGCUUCAGAUCU